UUUCCUUUUAACAAUUCUCCGCAGAAACCCUAAUGGACGCCACCAUCAUCUCUCUCACCCCUCUUCUGAGAAACCCUAAUGGACGAAUCCAUCAUCUCUUUCACUAUUUCCCCAGGAAUGGAAGAGGGCGGUAGUGCUGUCGCUUAAGCAUUGCAUCUCUCAAACGAUUUGUGGUUGCAGGGGAAACAUGAACAAAGGCUCCGAUAAAGUUGCGGUUCAUAACAAUAGCUGGUAAAGAUGUGGUGU
rnacentral:lncRNA from 1 species